ACAUUGGCGGUUCAGUGGUAGAAUUCCUGCCUUCUAUGCAGAAGACCCAGGUUCAGUUCCCAGCCAGCGCA
rnacentral:tRNA from 1 species